AGCGAACGCUGGCGGCAGGCCUAACACAUGCAAGUCGAGCGGCAGCGGGGAGUAGCUUGCUACUUUGCCGGCGAGCGGCGGACGGGUGAGUAAUGUCUGGGAAACUGCCUGAUGGAGGGGGAUAACUACUGGAAACGGUAGCUAAUACCGCAUAACGUCGCAAGACCAAAGAGGGGGACCUUCGGGCCUCACACCAUCGGAUGUGCCCAGAUGGGAUUAGCUAGUAGGUGGGGUAAUGGCUCACCUAGGCGACGAUCCCUAGCUGGUCUGAGAGGAUGACCAGCCACACUGGAACUGAGACACGGUCCAGACUCCUACGGGAGGCAGCAGUGGGGAAUAUUGCACAAUGGGCGCAAGCCUGAUGCAGCCAUGCCGCGUGUAUGAAGAAGGCCUUCGGGUUGUAAAGUACUUUCAGCGGGGAGGAAGGCGAUGCGGUUAAUAACCGCGUCGAUUGACGUUACCCGCAGAAGAAGCACCGGCUAACUCCGUGCCAGCAGCCGCCGUAA
rnacentral:rRNA from 1 species